rnacentral:lncRNA from 1 species
GAGGAUUGAGGAGUUGGUGAAUUUGAGGAGCUUGUUUUAUGUUGAGUUUUUUCUUUGUAUUAUUUUGUUUUUUGAAAUUUUUUGAUGUACUUUUGGGUGGCUCUAGUUCACCAAAACUAUUUUAUUUAUUUAUUUAGUUGUUUUAAUAAUUACAUGAACACUUUUUGAGAUUUAAGUGUGUUACAAUCAAAUUGGUUUACCAACAUUUUUGUUUAAUUGUUCUUACUCUUAAGUCAAGCUUAAAGCAACCGAGAAAUGAUUGCAAAGAAAGAAGUAUAGGACACCUCGAGUGGUGAUGAUAAGAAUUAGUGUCGGCAUUUCAAGGUACACUUUAUCGCUUUCUAGACUUAACAUGAGUAGUUUGAUGGUGUGUGCAAAUUUCAUAUCAUAAACUCAUUGAAAUGUAUGUCAUCUUUGAAUCAAAAUAGGACUUAACCAAUUGUGAGGAAGCUUUCCAUUGUACACUAAAAAGCGGGAAACCGAGCAUUAUUUCAACUCAUUCUUAUCAUGCUAAAUCAUGCAUCAAUCCAUUUUUGUGUGAAAAUUUUGAAAAU